rnacentral:rRNA from 1 species
GACGAACGUUGGCGGCGUGCUUAAUACAUGCAAGUCAACUGAAGCAGUGGUAGCAAUAUCGCUGUGGAGGUGGCGCACGGGUGAGUAACACGUAGGUAAUCUGCCUUCAGGUCUGGCAUAACUCCGGGAAACCGGGGCUAAUAGCAGAUGAUGCAGCGGCUCGACAUCGAGACAGUUGUUAAAGCUAUGGCGCCUGAAGAUGAGCCUGCGUCUGAUUAGCUAGUUGGCGGGGUAACGGCCCACCAAGGCAACGAUCAGUAGCUGGUCUGAGAGGAUGAUCAGCCACACUGGAACUGAGACACGGUCCAGACCCCUACGGGAGGCAGCAGUAAGGAAUAUUGCUCAAUGGGAGAAAUCCUGAAGCAGCAACGCCGCGUGAGGGACGAAGGGCUUUUGCUUGUAAACCUCUGUAGUGAGAGAAAAAAAUCCCAAUCUUUGGGACAUGAUGGUAUCUCAAAAGUAAGCCCCGGCUAACUACGUG